rnacentral:rRNA from 1 species
GACGAACGCUGGCGGCGUGCUUAACACAUGCAAGUCGAACGGAAAGGCCCUGCUUUUGUGGGGUGCUCGAGUGGCGAACGGGUGAGUAACACGUGAGUAACCUGCCCUUGACUUUGGGAUAACUUCAGGAAACUGGGGCUAAUACCGGAUAGGAGCUCCUGCUGCAUGGUGGGGGUUGGAAAGUUUCGGCGGUUGGGGAUGGACUCGCGGCUUAUCAGCUUGUUUGUGGGGUAGUGGCUUACCAAGGCUUUGACGGGUAGCCGGCCUGAGAGGGUGACCGGCCAAAUUGGGACUGAGAUACGGCCCAGACUCCUACGGGAGGCAGAAGUGGGGAAUAUUGCACAAUGGGAGGAAGCCUGAUGCAGAAACGCAGCGUGCGGGAUGACGGCCUUCGGGUUGUAAACCGCUUUCGCCUGUGACGAAGCGUGAGUGACGGUAAUGGGUAAAGAAGCACCGGCUAACUACGUG